rnacentral:lncRNA from 1 species
GCUAGGAUGUGGAGGAGGUGAAGCGAACACGGGCCGUUGUGGCUAGGAGGUGAGCUGCUCAUCCUCGAUCUGGAGAAGGGGAAGGCAGAGGUGAGCAGGAUCCCCUCAAUUCUUGACAUGCUUACUAGUUAAUUUUAUAUGACUAGCUUCUGAACCCGAUAUUGCAUUAUGUGCGUCGAGAAACAUACAGUUUUAUAUCCUUAUUUGCAAAUUCGGAAUUGCAUCAUCUGUUCAACAGUGUGCUUAUGAUAUUUUCCAUACGUAUGGCUCAAAAUGUAACAUGCAGUCUAAUUUGCAUAGCCAGUUCAUUUUCUUGGAGCUUAUAGAUCUGUUCCAGUUAGUAAUUCAUUCUAGAUGAUCUCUGUAUUUUGUAGGACCUAUUUUUAAUUCAAUAGAUAGAUAGAUGUUUGUAGACAAGGUCUUCAGGAAUAACAUUUUAGUGUUGAUGUUCAGGUGUAGGUUCACAAGUUGAGGGAAGCUGCAGCCAUAAAUAAUCGAAAAAGUACCACACUUCACAGUUUUUGUGAGAUUCUUGAUCCUAGUUGAAGACUUAAUUUGGUACUUCCAUCGCGUGGCAUCGUUUGACUACAUUCUGAAUACCUCAUAAUUUGUUUCUAUCAUUGCACGGUUGUAUCAUAGGGAGUAAAAUAUAUUGUGGCGUGAUAAUGGAAAUUCUGAAAUUGGACUAUCACCACAACGGAAAUAUUGUGCUCUUUUGAGUGUGAUUGGUUUGACAACCGUGUACACGGCAAGUGGGUAAAAUUUGAUAUAUUUUGAAUCACAAAUAUGAACUCUAAGCAUUUAUUUAACUCUGGUGAGAAGUUGUCUGAUGAACCAUUAUUUCUGACUCCCCAAGCAACUCAAGCUUAUUCUGUCCAAGAUUCCAUUGACAAAGAUUCAUGUAGUGUUGUCCAUUCGAAGCCAGGAAUCCUUUUUGAUAUUCUUGGAAAAGAAAUGAAAACUUUGAGAAGGUUGAUGAACCUGUGAUUCUGUUCCUUGGUUUAGAUGCUAAUGUAAAUCUCCAGCCUGAUGUUCAAGAUGCACCUCGUAUUAGAAAAGAUGUAGAUGGACAAUUGUUUGUCAGGUUAAGAAGGAUAAAUAUGUAGCUUAAAUACCUCUUUUAAUAUUUUGUAAUGUUCCUCUACUUCAGGCUUGCCCUGUGCAUAAGACGCACUAUUGCUAAUUAUGUCUUUUAUAUUUAAGUAUUCCUGCAGAGUGCCUCUUUGUUCUUCUAUUUCAGAUUGCAUAACACUUGUACUAAUUCUGAGAUGAUAUUUCUUUUCAGGAAAAGAAUGGCAAACAGAGGAUAAAGAGAUGAUGCUUCUACAUAUAAAGAUUUGUGAACAGGGAAUGUAACGCUUGUCAUAGAGAGGUUGAAUGACUUCAUUCCAAGUCUUGCAUGAACAAGACAACAAGACAAAGGUGAUGGUCGCCCUUGUGUGUUGAUACAUCUUGUGGAUGCUAGUUUUCUUUAUCUAUAAAGCAGAGCUACGGCCUAAUUUCUUAAACCAUUAAUAAAAGAAAUCAAGAAAUGCUUAUAAACUAUGGAUGUAGCAACAUCAUGACCUUCCUGUAUGCAUCAUGGACCAAUAAAGGAAUUACAUCAUGACCUUCCUGUAUGCAUCAUGACCUUCCUGUAUGCAUCAUGGAUGUAGCUACUCUGUUUCUUAAACAGUUCUGCAGCUACUACUAAAACUUUGCACAGUUUGGACAACACAUCAUGGACUAAUAAAGGGACCACACAAGUACAUAUUCAGUAAACCAACAUUCUUUGAUUUUGAGCAACCUAUAUUCAUUUCAGCAAAUGAUUUAAGUGCCUGCAAACUCUUUUUCUUUUUGUUUGAUCAACAUUUUUUCUGAAACAAGCAGCAGAUUUAAUUAGAGGGCUGUUCAGUUGGUAUACAUUCUCAUGACUAUUGAUUCUCACUAUCUAGCACUAAUACACACUACACGGAACAAACAUGUACAAAAAAAACAGAGGACGCUGUGCAUUGCCACUGGAUUGCUAGUGAUUACUUGCAGUUUUUUAAUGUUCUAUUUACUUCACAGCAAUCAGGAGAAACUAAUACACCAAAAGAUCACUACUGAUAAAUAUUUAUAAUGAUAGGUUGUAUAGUGCAUAAUCUGUUCCUAUGACUACAUGCACACAUUCUGUUUGUGCCUUGUGGAAUGCAAAGUACAGGGCGACGUCGACACACAAGUAUCUUUUUCAUUUGGAUGAGUCGAUUUUCUUUUUCAGCCCGUGCAACUUCUAUGUUUGGAACAUGUGUUCAUCUGAGCU